rnacentral:rRNA from 1 species
UACGUAGGGUGCAAGCGUUAUCCGGAAUUAUUGGGCGUAAAGAGCUCGUAGGCGGUUUGUUGCGUCGGCUGUGAAAUCCCGAGGCUCAACCUCGGGUCUGCAGUCGAUACGAGCAAACUAGAGUGUUGCAGGGGAGACUGGAAUUCCUGGUGUAGCGGUGAAAUGCGCAGAUAUCAGGAGGAACACCGGUGGCGAAGGCGGGACUCUGGGCCGAUACUGACGCUGAGGAGCGAAAAGCGUGGGGAGCAAACAGG